rnacentral:rRNA from 1 species
CCUACGGGAGGCAGCAGUGGGGAAUAUUGGACAAUGGGGGGAACCCUGAUCCAGCCAUGCCGCGUGUCUGAAGAAGGCCCUCGGGUUGUAAAGCACUUUCAGUGAGGAAGAACGCCUGGUGGUUAAUACCCAUCAGGAAAGACAUCACUCACAGAAGAAGCACCGGCUAACUCCGUGCCAGCAGCCGCGGUAAUACGGAGGGUGCGAGCGUUAAUCGGAAUUACUGGGCGUAAAGCGCGCGUAGGUGGCUUGAUAAGCCGGUUGUGAAAGCCCCGGGCUCAACCUGGGAACGGCAUCCGGAACUGUCAAGCUAGAGUGCAGGAGAGGAAGGUAGAAUUCCCGGUGUAGCGGUGAAAUGCGUAGAGAUCGGGAGGAAUACCAGUGGCGAAGGCGGCCUUCUGGACUGACACUGACACUGAGGUGCGAAAGCGUGGGUAGCAAACAGGAUUAGAUACCCCAGUAGUC